CUUGACAAACCUAUAAGAGGUCCAGCCUGCCCAGUGACUCUGUUCAACGGCCGCGGUAUCCUAACCGUGCGAAGGUAGCGUAAUCACUUGUUCUUUAAAUGAGGACUAGUAUGAAUGGCACCACGAAGGUUAUACUGUCUCCUUUUUCUAAUCAGUGAAACUAAUCUUCCCGUGAAGAAGCGGGAAUAAAAAUAUAAGACGAGAAGACCCUAUGGAGCUUUAAACAAAUAUACACCUGCCUCUUUACCAAAAAUUUCAGAAGACAAGUAAUUACCCGGGCAUUUUGAUAUAGCGUUUUAGGUUGGGGUGACCGCGGAGCAAAAAAUAACCUCCGCAGCGAACGGGAGUAUUCCCUAAACCAAGGACCACAACCCUAAGUAUUAAUAAAUUAACACUAAUUGACCCAAUAAAUUUGAUCAAUGAAC
rnacentral:rRNA from 1 species